AGUGAACGCUGGCGGUAGGCCUAACACAUGCAAGUCGAACGGCAGCACAGUAAGAGCUUGCUCUUACGGGUGGCGAGUGGCGGACGGGUGAGGAAUACAUCGGAAUCUACUUUUUCGUGGGGGAUAACGUAGGGAAACUUACGCUAAUACCGCAUACGACCUACGGGUGAAAGCAGGGGAUCUUCUGACCUUGCGCGAUUGAAUGAGCCGAUGUCGGAUUAGCUAGUUGGCGGGGUAAAGGCCCACCAAGGCGACGAUCCGUAGCUGGUCUGAGAGGAUGAUCAGCCACCCUGGAACUGAGCCACGGUCCAGACUCCUACGGGAGGCAGCAGUGGGGAAUAUUGGACAAUGGGCGCGAGCAUGAUCCAGCCAUACCGCGUGGGUGAAGACGGCCUUCGGGUUGUAAAGCCCUUUUGUUGGGAAAGAAAAGCAGCAGGUUAAUACCACGCUGUUCUGACGGUACCCAAAGAAUAAGCACCGGCUAACUUCGUG
rnacentral:rRNA from 1 species